rnacentral:lncRNA from 1 species
AGAAUCAAACAACUUAACAAACCUGUUUAAUGCAAAAAAGAAGCACAACCACAUAUUUCACAGGUUCAAGCUAUGUACAAAAACCACAGAGCAAUCUGAUGUUACUAGGCUACAUAUACACGAAUGGAUUGAACAAAACUAUCAAUCCUUUUCCUUAUCUCUUCUGGAUUGGCACCCACUAGCUUGUCAACUACAGCCCCUUCCCUCAUCAGCAAAAAUGUUGGCAUGGCCUUUACCUCCAGUUUAGACGCCACAUCCUGACCAAGCAGGCAGAAAGAUCACAGAAUAAGAAUCAAACAAUCAAGCAUUAAUUUACUGGGCCUCUCUUUAUCACAUAGUUAUUACAGACAGAUUGAACAAUGUUCAUGAACUACCUUGUCAACUCUAAGGCAGCUGUUAAGUUACAUUACAUGUAACUUAUAGUUGACCCAAAAGUAGUUUCCCAUGACCCCUAGUUAUUUGACAAGCAACAACUGAGUCAUACAAGAAAACUUGAUUUUGGGUAGUUAGCAAGACCCCUAACUUUAACAGGUAAAAGAUUUAUCCAAAAACAUGAACACCGCAUUCAAAAUAUGGUUUUUAUUAGGUGGUUAUGAUCACCUAACUUUCAUGACACUUGGUAAUGAAAGAUUCUCAAAUUAACCAUGGAUAAGAAGGAAACUUGAAAAAUUAUAAAUUGUUUAGAACUCAUCAGUUGGUGAAAAUUGCAAAAAAAAUUAAUUAUAGAGUAAAAUAAUUAUAAUAUCUGCUUUUCGGUUU